rnacentral:rRNA from 1 species
GUGUCAGCCGCCGCGGUAAUACGGAGACUGCGAGCGUUACUCGGAUUUACUGGGCGUAAAGGGUCCGUAGGCGGCCAGGUGUGUCGGGUGUGAAAUCCUGCAGCUUAACUGCAGAACUGCGCUCGAAACUAUCUGGCUCGAGUAUUGGAGAGGUGAGUGGAAUUCCUGGUGUAGCGGUGAAAUGCGUAGAUAUCAGGAGGAACACCAACGGCGAAGGCAGCUCACUGGACAAUUACUGACGCUGAGGGACGAAAGUGUGGGGAGCAAAAGGGAUUAGAUACCCUCGUAGUCC